rnacentral:lncRNA from 1 species
UCUGACUGUAGUGACCCUCGGCAUAUGUCAUGCUCAGAUUCUGGUAGGUAGAUCCACACCUGUAUGAGAAAACUUUAAUCAACACUAUGUGAGGCAAAUGUUUUUGUCAAUUUUUCAAGCAGUUUUUUUCUUAACAAGAUGUGACGAAAAACAUAAUUGGGCUCGACUCACUUUAUCUUCACACUUCACUCUGUCCUUUUCUUUUUUCUUAUUUCUUAUUUCUUUUUUUCUUUCUUUCUUUUCAUUUCUUUUUUUAUUUAUUUUUUCAUUUACCUUCGGCUAUCAUUGGUCCGCCAAAUGACCCUUUUACCCUUUAAUAAAUGCGACAUGUAGCAUAUAAGAUGCAUGAGGAUGAUCUUUUACUUUUUGGGGUGUACCUGUCCUAGACAGACCCAACCCCUAUGUUGAGUUACCUAAAUCAAAUGCACAUGAUGCCAAAAAAAUCUCCUACUAGGGAUCCGGCAUGAGUUAAGUUAUUCUAGGUUUAGAACCUGGGUAUAUGUUCUAGACUGUGUACCCGAGUGGACAACUCUAGUCGAGGAAGGGGCUACGUACCGGAAACCAAAAGGCCGUCCGACUUUGUAACUUGUCCGAGCCUCUUUCUUAUUUUAAGGUAUGACACUAACAUAAUAGGGAGUCUCAACCAGCGAGUACAACCCUGGAGAUGAGAAUAGGAAGGUUUCGCAGCAAUUUAUAUAUAGUUCAAAUAAUAUCAAAGUGGUAAAAAUCGACACUUAGCAUAUUGGACACAAUCAUGUAAUAAAAUCAUAUAUUAAAGCCAAAUACAAUAAUUAUUCUAAGCUCGAAUUCUUGCAAUAAAUUCCUAGCAGAGUCGCUAGAGCUGUCACACCUCCCUUUUAAUACUACAACCCCGACGAAGGGCGUAGGUAAGGGAGUUUUUCCAAUUAAAGGACAAUCAAAGCGGGAAUUACAUAUUUAAGAGAUUUCAGAGUCGCCAUUUGGGAUAAUUUAUGGUGUCCCAGGUCACCGAUUUAAAUCCCGAAUCGAGGAAAGUUUGACUCUGUAUAGAGUCAGCGAGCCAGAAGGUUUUAGGCACUCCCGAGUUCCAUGGUUCUGGCACGGUCGCUCAACUAUUAUAUUCGUCUUAAUUAUUUGAUUUUAUGCAAUUAUGAACCUAUGUGCAAAUUUUAACUUUUUAACCAUUUUUAUUUAAUUAUCAGAAGAUUGCAACGUUGCUAAAACGUGUCUUAAACCACGUCACAUAAAUGCACCCGUAGUCUUUGACAUAUUUCAACAUCAUUGGGAUUGGAAUUUGGGUCACAUAAAUGGGCUCCCGAAUUUAGAAAAGUAGAAUAUUUAACUAUCGUGCCUGAAGCAAUUACGUGUUUUUACAUUUGCGAGGGCCAUGAAAAAUUUAACUAAAUGGCACACCUCGAUUUCUAUACAAUUAAGUAUUUGAAGGCCACGGGUUAUCUAGUUUUGCACUAUGGCACACCUCAACUCUAACUUCAAAGGAUGUUCGCACUACUUUUGAAGGCCAUAAAGUAUAGCUCUUGUUGAUAUAGCACACCCCAAUCUAAUUAAACGAGCCAUUUUUCAAUACCUUUAAUAAUACCAAACCUUAUAACCUUUUACAACUAAAACCUCAUAACUUGGCAAAAUUUUAAUAAAAGAAACUAAGCAAAUGAGUAUUUAGGAGUAGUAAUAACAACUACUAAUACUAAUUUUGUCCGAAUGAAUUAAGCAAAUGAACGCUCAUAGUUUUUCCAUUAGCCAGUACUGAACGAAUAAAUUAAUGCCAAACUAAUUUACAGAACACCUAAUAGAACUUAACCAAAGGAUACCAAAUAAACAAAAUAAUAUAUAAUAAAAGGGAAUCAAAAGACACGCGGCAAAGAUAUAAACAGAAAAUUACCAUACAAAUUUCUAUAUUGCAUCUUUGAACUUCAACGUAACUAUUCCUCAUCUAAAACUGGACUUUUAAUAACUUGAUCAAACAAAAACGGGUAGAACCAGGGACCAGCCCUCAACAUCGACCUAACGGGAACCUCUGAUCGAAGAUCUAAGCAACGAGCUUUAGAUCGACAGAUCUCGACAUGGUCUCAAGCGCAGAUAAUUUCACAUUAUGAUAGUUCGCUGGAUUGAUUUUUGAAUCGAACAAAGACCAAAGGUUUAACGGGCAGAAGAGAGAUGAAGCAGCAGUGUCCAGGCGAGGCUUUGGUGGUGGUUUCAACUUGUUUUCUUGCGAGCUUGUCACUGUUUCUGCUGGGUUUUGCGACGAGCUAUGGUGGUCUCGAUGGCUUUAGCUGGUUGAGUUUCGGAGAUGAUGAACCAUAGGGGGGGUCGUUUGGUCGAAGAAGAAAAGCGAUGAGAUGAAGUCACACGGGGUGGGAUUUUUUAGUGAAGCGCAGCUUCUUCUUUUUUUGUCUAUCCUUGUGUUAUCGUUAUAGGUAGAGUGCAGGUUUAAGGUGUAAUUUUUGUAUAAUUGUCAAUUAAACCCUAGUUCUUUUUGUGU